AAAACUCUGAGGAGAGAAGGCGUUUU
rnacentral:piRNA from 1 species